rnacentral:rRNA from 1 species
GAUGAACGCUGGCGGCGUGCCUAAUACAUGCAAGUCGAGCGAACGGACGAGAAGCUUGCUUCUCUGAUGUUAGCGGCGGACGGGUGAGUAACACGUGGAUAACCUACCUAUAAGACUGGGAUAACUUCGGGAAACCGGAGCUAAUACCGGAUGAUAUUUUGAACCGCAUGGUUCAAAAGUGAAAGACGGUCUUGCUGUCACUUAUAGAUGGAUCCGCGCUGCAUUAGCUAGUUGGUAAGGUAACGGCUUACCAAGGCAACGAUGCAUAGCCGACCUGAGAGGGUGAUCGGCCACACUGGAACUGAAACACGGUCCAGACUCCUACGGGAGGCAUCAGUAGGGAAUCUUCCGCAAUGGGCGAAAGCCUGACGGAGCAACGCCGCGUGAGUGAUGAAGGUCUUCGGAUCGUAAAACUCUGUUAUUAGGGAAGAACAUAUGUGUAAGUAACUGUGCACAUCUUGACGGUACCUAAUCAGAAAGCCACGGCUAACUACGUG